GUAACGCAUGUACAGAUAAACAGCUAUGGGGACAAUGAUGUUCGUCGUGAUAAGAACUCCUAUUGAAAUCGUUUGGAUGUCACUUCCUGUUUAAGAAGAGGUUGAACAUGUAUUAAUUUUCAAAGUAACACUCCCUUGAUAACACAUAUUUAUGCAUGAAUAAAGUUUUUAAAGUGCAUGAACUAUAAAUUUUUGUCUUGUUUUCUAUAGUGUGGCCAAUCUGUAAGAUUCACACAUUUAAUAAAUAUCGUACAUGCUAUAUGGUUGUUUUAAAACAAUUAUGUUAAAUUCUGUAUUUGUUUUAUCAGUUUUUGGAACCUGAAAAAGAAAAUGAGGACUUGGGCUCUUUUGGAAUGUCGGUACUACAACAAACUUGUCAAUAUACAUUUUACUGAUGCAAAGCAUAAAUAAAUAAACAAAUAACACAAGCUUACCCGUUUCUUUUUCUGAAGCUAUGAAAAAAGGAAAGACUGUAUAAGAAAAUCUGCAAACUAAAUGUGUGUCAAGAGUAUUGUGGUUUGUUUCUUUCAGUACAUAGCUUGUUAUAGAAUGUUAAAUAUAAUGACAAUGCAAUCUUGUUAACAUAUAUAAUUGUAUCAACCCAAAUAAACACUAAAAUAUUAAUAAACAAUAAAAAUUAACUAAAACCAUAGAAGUACAACUGCAAAUUAAAGUAACUCUUAAUUUCAGUAUCCAAAGUAUAUUCAAAAAACUUACAUAUUCCUUUCUCUGAACCUAUGGGAGAAAGGAAAGACUAUGAGUACAACUGCAAGGAACAGUUUUUAAAUCAGAGUACAGCAUCAAGUUAGUUAAACUUGUAGGUCACUGAUCUGCUCAGUUGUAAGUACCAGAGGGGGGAUGUUGAUCAGUUUCAUCUGCUUUAGUGUUAAUGAAAUUGAUGACAGGUGCACUACAAGGGCAGCAAUGAGAGAUAAUGGUUUUACAUGUGGGGGACACUUUUCCAUUCUCAUCUUUUCUUACUGUUUGUUCACUAGUUUUGCAUUUGGCUGCUGGUAGCAUGAGGCGAUACGGAUACAGAGGUUGCACAGGCAGUCCAUCUCAUCCAGGAUACGUGUUAUUGUCAGCAGGUUUGCUGUGUCCCAGCACAAUCUCAAGAGCAUGGAGGAGAAUCCAGGAGAUAGGUUGUUACUCUAGAAGAGCUGGACAGGGACAGAGAAGAUCCUUAAUCAUCAGCAGGGCAGGUAUCUGCUUCUUUGUGCCAGGAAGAACAAGAUGAGCACUGCCAGAGCUACAAAAUGACCUCCAGCAGGUCACUGGUGUGAAUGUCUCUGACCACAGAAUCAGGAACAGACUUCAUGAGGGUGGCUUGAAGUUCUCUAGUGGGCGCUGUGCUCACUGGCCAACACUCCAGAGACUAAUUAUCAUUUCCGCCUAUAACAUCUCACAUCAUUAGAUGUUUCCAGGUCCAAACCUCUCUUCAGCUCCCAAACUCAAACAAAUACUGUGGGGUUAAAAAUGAGUUAAAUCUGUCUAACUUAUUUUAUCUUCAAUAAAGUGAUCAGUGUGGCUGCUCUACUAGAUGUAACAAUAAAGUUUAACAUCCAGGCAUCCAUUAAAAACAGGAUUUAUGACGUUUAGCAGAGUUAGAAGUUAGCAGGGAGUUAGCCUGCUAGUUUCCAUCUAUAGAUGAUAUACCAUGUUCUUACUGAGGGAUUUCUGAAAAAUUAAAAUGUACAGCUCUGCUAUCACUUCAGACAUACACAAAGACAGUAAAAUAAACAGCAGCAAAGUUUGUAGGGUUACAGAAGUUAGCUUUGUAGCCAGCCACCAUUAUAUGCCAGCAAGCCUAUAGAUAGCAUAAUAUAAACACAUUACCACAGUAAUGCUGGAGGAUGAACAAUUUUUCCCCCACAAUAAAAGUGAAAAAAACAAAACAAAAUUUCAGUCCCCGAACGCAACAGAAAAACGGACCAAACUUCAGUCAGGAGAAUACCUGAUAUAAUCUAUCAACAAUACGAGGUUAGUCAUUAAUAUACUGCUAAUAUAUAAUGCAAAGUUCCUGAUCCUCAGUUUCAUACCUAUUCAAAUGAUUAUUAGCCUCAGAGUGAUUCUUUUAUGACACGUUCAAAUAUUUGCCGUCUGGCAAACUGGCAGCUGAUGGGCUGUCGUUAAGGUUUCAAAAAAUAUUGAGCGUUCAAAAAUGGAGCUUUAAAACAUGCUGCAGAUGAAUAGUUAUAAUAAAACCUCAGAGGCCAACAGUGAUUACUGACUAUUUUUCAUGGCCUGAUAAAAAGAAAAUAGCCUUAACGAACACUGUGUAGUUUGCACCCAGAACCUGGACCGGGACUUGAACACAAAAGCGAAUCUAAGUCCCUACCCUCACCUACAGUCAUGAGCUUUGGAUUGUGACGCAAAGAUAGAGACACUGAAUACAAGCAGUGGUAAUAAGCUUACUCCAAAGGUGGCUGGCCUAUCAGAUUAGACCCUCUACUCGUCCAUGUGGAAAGUUUUUCAGAAUCAUCGUUAAACUUAAUUUUAGUUCAAAUAAAUAACCUAUUACAAUAUAUUUUCCAUGACAUAUCAAAUAAAGUUCUAUUAAUGUAACUUACAACUCUUCUGCUGUGAAUUCACCAGGGAUGAUGCUGCGGUUGUACUUGUUGUUGACGAUGUUGUUUUUGUUGUUGAUGCUGUGCUUGGGUUUUUUGUUGUUGCUUCAAUGGUCGGUGUUGCUUCGAUGGCUGGUGCUGUUGAUGGUGUUGCUUCGAUGGUCGGUGCUGUUGGCAGUGGUGUUGAUGGUGUUGCUUCGAUUGGUGUUGAUGGUGUUGCUUCGAUGUUCGGUGUUGUUGGCAGUGGUGUUGAUGGUGUUGCUUCGAUGUUCGGUGUUGUUGGCAGUGGUGUUGAUGGUGUUGCUUCGAUGUUCGGUGUUGUUGGCAGUGGUGUUGAUGGGGUUGCUUCGAUGGUCGGUGCUGUUGAUGGUGUUGCUUCGAUGGUCGGUGCUGUUGAUGGUGGUGGAUUGAGUAAACACAAGAGUUUGUAGCAAUUUUUUUCAUGUCUUAAUUAUGUUAGCGGUCAUAAAAAUUACAUUUUUGGGAAAAUUCCAGACUGUUUCCAAAUUAAUUAUUUAAAAUUCAAUAUCACUACUUAUAUUUAGUUUGAAUAGAAGGGUAAUUUAAAAGGCUGGUGUAAGUACUACAGAAACUGCUGAUCUCCUGGGAUUUGCCUCUAUACUCGUCUGUAGGGAUCACAGAGAGGACGCUUCUGUGAAGGGCUGCACACUGACCAGUACAUUUAAAACAUGACACUGUUUUACAAAUGACUGUUGUCCACUCGAAGAGACCAGAUCCUUAAAAAACUAGAACUUUCUGUUACAAAAUGUUUAUUUAGCUAUUUUACAACAGUUUGGUGUUCUCAUACGCAAAACAAAGUAAAGCUUACUUACAAAACUUGAAUUGUCAUUGAAAUGUUAAUCUGAACAGAUAAUACUUAGUAAAUAUGAUCAAAUAUGUAUUUUGUCCAUGUGUGAAACUCAAAGCUUCUUUAAAGUCAGAAUUUUUCUACGAAAAAAAACCCCUUGGAGGUUUCUUUAAACAUUUUUCUUGAAUAUACCUUCAAGUGUGUCCUUGGAUGGAGUCUGACUGCUUUUAAUCUAAUUUUUGGGCAAAGACAACAGCAGCUGUCAAGCACUGAAAAAAAGGUGAAAUAUUCAUCUUUUGCAAUAAAAUGUAAAAUGUCAGUGUUGGGUCUGCGCUUCCACGGGCCCAGCUGGUUUUGAAACUUAUUCCCGUUAACGAAGCAAGGAAGCAAGACGAACAGUUCAACCGGUUUUUCACAUGCUAGCAAGGGAAGGAUCUCAGAGCAGCCCUUCUGCCCUCGGUCUCAGACCACUUCGAAGAACCAUCACCCCACAGCAGCCUUUUAUUCUGUUACACACAGUUUACACAAACACCCAUUGUAAAGCCCCCUGUGGUCACAAAAGGUUAAAACACUGUGUGUGUGAGCGAGCAUGUGUGUGUGUGUGUGUGUGAGCGUGUGUGUGUGUGUGUGUGUGUGUGUGUGUGUGUGUGUGUGUGUGUGUGUGUGUGUGUGUGUGUGUGUGUGUGUGUGUUUGGGGGUGCGUUUGUGUGACCUCCUGCUCACCAAAAGGGUCAUACAGGCAGGAAGUUUACUAAACAAGAAAACAGAACCUUCACAUAGGAUGUGCCUAUAAUAAAACACUACAGCCUCCCCCACCAUUCAACAGGCUGUGGAGGGAGUCAGAAACAAAGGAAUGUCUUUGGUCAUAUAGUUUGAACUAAGACUUACAAAUUUAUGUAACACAAUAACAACAUUUAGCAAUUUCAACCUAACAGUCAGUAGCACUGUACGUCCUCUUUUAGAUGUGUUUUAGUUUUUCUGCUUUUAAUGACUAAUCUUGGUCAAAUAUAAUGUUUAUGGCCAUAUGAGGGUCAUUUGGGCGUUUUUUUGUUUUUGUAAAGUAAAUUGUCCUGGCUCCUUUGAGAAAACGUCUCUCUGUAUAUCGGUUCUAAAUCUUCUAUCCUGUACCUUUAAAGUGAUAUUUACUUGAAAAGCUGCACUAAGAACAGCAGUCUGUUCAGAGAGAAUGCAAAAAAAUGUUUAGUGAAAGCCUGAUUCAAGAAAGUGGGGAAAUAAAUAAGAUGCAAAAGUAAUUACACAAAAAGAGCUGGAGUAUAUUUUAAGAUGGAGAACAGCAGUAGUGCAGCAGUCAGCGUGAUUUAUAAAAUUUAACAUCAGCUAGAAGCAAAACACAAACAUGCACUCUUUCAGCAUUAAUAUUCAAUCCAAUCCAACUUUAUUUAUAGAGCACUUUAAAAUCAACUUUGACCAAAGUGCUUUCCAUUAAAAACAAUGAGAAAAGUAAAACUAUGACAAAACCAUAAAUAAAAUGUGUUUCCUACCUGUGGUGGCAGAAUCUUCCCCACAUAAUUUUUCUAAACAAAAAAAAGAAAGAAAAAUACAAGCAAAGUUGUGAAUUUUAAAAUCAGCACACCGAAACAAAAGAAAACAAGAGAAAAUGUGGAUGUAGGUUUCAGUACCUGUACACACAUCCACACUGACAGACACAAUGGCAGCAUGGAUACACAUCACACACACCCACACACAAAUUCUGGCUGUUUGGAAUGUCUCUGUUCAUGGUGUGUGUGUGUGUGUGUGUGUGUACUUACUGUACACUUCACAGACUUCAGGCGGUUUAUCUUUGGUGAAAAGAAGAAAAACAUUAGCAGUAAGAACCAGAAGUUAAUUUUAGGUUUAUUGUAGGAGAUCCACAUUUGAGAACAUCAUCAGAAUGUUUUACAGUUUGAAAAAGACCUGCUCCUUUACUUUGUCUGAAUUUCUAAAACCUCUAAGCUCGUUACAACAGUCGGUGUCACAGUGUUGCUUCUCACAAAGACAUUCAGGCAGCAAGUCUUUAAACUAACCACAGCUGAAAGUAUCAAAAUGAGGUGAUACCUCGUAGACGCUUGGCUAUAUCUGUCAAGCACAUGAAGUGGUAGAAAGAGACAUUGAUGUCCUUAGCCUUCUCGUUACAUGGCGGUUUAUAGUCCUGCAGGACAAACAACAUGUUUAUCAGAUAUAAUCCUUGUUUUACCUGACCAGGAGUAGAAAACAACAAACAGAACUUGAAGAAGAUGAGAUUUUUUUUCCUUGCCAUGUCAUUCUCUACCUUAAAACACUCCCGUAGAAAACAGGUUUCUUCUUUUUUGUUGUUACAGUCUUCGUCUUUCAUUAAACUACAUACAACGAUGUCCUGCAAUGAAACAAGGGCACAUUUACCAUUAACCAAAUAUAAGUCACUGCAACAUAAAUUUAAAUACAUUUUCUAGUUUUUAAACAAUGUUUCACAAAGUUACCUCGGACUUGUUCAUUAUUUUGACAGGAAUAUUCUCUGGGAGCGUACUUAAUGCUUUUGUCUUCCAAGUACAGAGAGAUGGUAAAGAAGCAAAAGACAUCAUUAGUUAUAUAUUUGUUUAUUAUUAGUGAGUGAUCAUCACAACUAAAACAGCAACAUGUCCAAAGAGAGUCAAAUAUGCUGGCUUCUAGAACACAAAUCUGCUGGGGUUAGAGGCUGUCAGAGGGCUGCAGGUUGUCAAAAGCCUGAUCCCAACACCCAAAUCUGAUUUAUAUCAUCCUCAUAUUACCUUUUAUCUUAGCACCCUUGUCACCCAGCAUUAGAGAUCAGCCUAUUAAGAAAUUAAAUAAUUAGGGAAAAGAACUUUUUUUUUCUUACCAAUCCUCCUUUUUCAAAGUGCUCCAUACAGUUUGCGUCUGAUGGCUCGAUCAGGAUUACCUGGUAGACAAAAGGUUGUUUAAUUAGACGGACAGAAU
ensembl:lncRNA